rnacentral:lncRNA from 1 species
UACCAAACAAAAAAAAACGAACAAAAAUAUAAUAUAAUUAUAUUUUUUGUUUUUAAUAACUUUCCUUAGGCCGACUUGGACAAUUCUUGUGCAGUAAGUCUCGUCUUGCAUAUCCACACGUGCUGGAAUUAAUAUUUGAAGCAAAUCUUGAACGAGAUUGACAGAAAAAAUUCUGCACUUAAAACAGAGCAUCAGGAUGCUGUACGAGGAUGCUGCAGCAUCUUUGUCCAGCAUCUGGCAAAGUUGGCUUUUACAAAAUGUAGCCAAACACAAAACCCAACAAU